AAUGGGCGCAAGCCUGAUCUAGCCAUGCCGCGUGAGUGAUGAAGGCCUUAGGGUCGUAAAGCUCUUUCGCCUGUGAAGAUAAUGACUGUAGCAGGUAAAGAAACCCCGGCUAACUCCGUGCCAGCAGCCGCGGUAAUACGGAGGGGGUUAGCGUUGUUCGGAAUUACUGGGCGUAAAGCGCGCGUAGGCGGACAUUUAAGUCAGAGGUGAAAUCCCAGGGCUCAACCCUGGAACUGCCUUUGAUACUGGGUGUCUUGAGUUCGAGAGAGGUGAGUGGAAUUCCGAGUGUAGAGGUGAAAUUCGUAGAUAUUCGGAGGAACACCAGUGGCGAAGGCGGCUCACUGGCUCGAUACUGACGCUGAGGUGCGAAAGCGUGGGGAGCAAACAGGAUU
rnacentral:rRNA from 1 species